UACGGGGGGGGGCAAGCGUUGUUCGGAAUUACUGGGCGUAAAGGGUCCGUAGGUGGCUUGCUAAGUCAGACGUGAAAUCCCUCGGCUUAACCGGGGAACUGCGUCUGAGACUGGCGAGCUUGAGUGCAGGAGAGGAACGCGGAAUUCCAGGUGUAGCGGUGAAAUGCGUAGAUAUCUGGAGGAACACCGGUGGCGAAGGCGGCGAUCCUGGACCAACACUGACACUGAUGAGCGAAAGCCAGGGGAGCAAAGCGGG
rnacentral:rRNA from 1 species